GCCUCUCUGCGCCUGCGCCCGCGCUGGGCGCCUCUCUGCGCCUGCGCCCGCGCUGGGCGCCUUUGCGAGGGAGGAGCUGCGUUCUCCUCAGCACAGACCCAGAUUGCAUCGUGAGGGCGAGCUGAGUUCUCCUCUGCACAGACUUCGGAGAUUACUGAUUUUGGGCACUCCAAGAUUUUGGGAGAGACCUCUCUCGUGAGAACCUUAUGUGGAACCCCCACCUGCUUGGCUCCUGAAGUUCUUGUUUCUGUUGGACUGCUGGGUUUUAGGAGUUAUUCUUUUUAUCUGCCUUAGUGGGUAUCCACCUUUCUCUGAGCAUAGGACUCAAGUGUCACUGAAGGAUCAGAUCUCCAGUGGAAAACACAACUUCAUUCCUAAAGUCUGGGCAGAAGUCUCAGAGAAAGGUGGCUGAGGAGACCUCAGAAUCAUGGCAGGAGGUGAAAGGCACUUCUUACAUGGUGGCGGCAAGAGAAAAUGAGGAAGAUGCAAAAGCGGAAACCCCUGAUAAAGCCAUCAGAUCUUGAGUUACACUGUUUGUGAUAUGGUGUAUGACCUGGUCAAUCUUAGGCUCUGAAGCUCUCCCUGGUGGAAAUUUAUUUGGAUUGUUAAUUAUUUUUUAUAGUGCCAUUAUUGGGGGAAAAAUUUUACAACUCAUUAGAAUACCUUUAGUGCCUCCACUUCCACCUCUUCUUGGGAUGUUACUGGCUGGGUUUACAGUUAGGAAUGUUCCAUUCAUCAGUGAACAUGUCCAUGUUCCUAACGCAUGGUCUUCAAUUUUAAGAAGCAUUGCCCUUAACAUUAUUCUAAUACAAGCUGGGCUUGGACUCGAUCCGCAGGCUUUGAGACAUUUGAAGGUGGUUUGUUUCAGAUUGGCUGUAGGUCCAUGCCUCAUGGAGGCAAGUGCUGCUGCUGUUUUUUCCCACUUCAUUAUGAAAUUUCCCUGGCAAUGGGCAAUUCUAUUAGGACAGAAUUGCCAAUACACAACACCGUUCACUUGACUUUGAAAAUGAGAAAGAGAAAAAGGGGGAGAAAGAGCAGAAUUGCUUUUGAAGUAGUACUUUAUUAUAGUACUUUUGAAGUUGCUUUUGAAGUACUACUUUAAUAUAAUUGAAUGUAUCAAAAUCUCUUUUUAUGUCUAAUGCCUUUGUAUGUAUCAAAAUCUCUUUUUAUGUCUAAUGCCUUUGUAUGUAUCAUUCAAAAGGUCCUUUUUACCUCAUGAUCACAAAUAUAUUAUUCUACAUCUUUUUGUUGUUGUUGUUCAGAGCCUUGCUGUCACCCAGGCUGUAGUGCAGUGGCAUGAUCUCAGCUCACUGCAACCUCCACCUCCCAGGUUCAAGUGAUUCUCCUGCCUCAACCUCCCAAGUAGCUGGGACUACAGGCAUGCACCACUGCACCCAGCUAUUGGUUUUGCCAUGUUGGCCAGGCUGGUCUCAGAUUCCUGAUCUGUCUGCCUCAGCCUCCCAAAGUGCUGGGAUUACAGGUGUGAGCCAUCACGCCUAGCCCACUACAUUUUCUUAUUACUACUUUUCCUUUUGAGCGUUUAACAUUUAUUAUGUGUAAGGAUCUAUCUAUAUUCCUUUCCACAUAAAUAGUUAUCUCAACACCAUUUGUGAAAGAUUUCUUUCUUUCUCCCACUGAUUUAAAAUACCAAUUUAUGAUGUAACAAAUCCCAUAGAUUUGUUUCCACACUUUGUAUUCUCUUUUCUCCCAAUUUAUUUUGUCUAUUUAUAUGUCACUAUUAUUCAGUUUUAACUAUUUCACCUUUACAAAAACAGUGUCUGGUUUUCUUAAGUUUACUUGAUCUUUCAUUCUAAGAUCUUAUUCUUCCAAAUGAAUUUUAUAAUCAGCUUGUCAAGCUCAGUAAAAGUCCCUGCAAAGAUUUU